UACGGAGGGUGCAAGCGUUAUCCGGAUUCACUGGGUUUAAAGGGUGCGUAGGAGGGCAGGUAAGUCAGUGGUGAAAUCUCCGAGCUUAACUUGGAACUGCCGUUGAUACUAUCUGUCUUGAAUACCGUGGAGGUGAGCGGAAUAUGUCAUGUAGCGGUGAAAUGCUUAGAUAUGACAUAGAACACCAAUUGCGAAGGCAGCUCACUACACGCAUAUUGACUCUGAGGCACGAAAGCGUGGGAUCAAACAGG
rnacentral:rRNA from 1 species